GAGAUGGGGCGACCGAAACAGUGCUCACGCCCGUUUCAAAUGAUUUCGAUCGAUUUGAUGGGUCCAUUGCCAACUACUAGGAGAAGGAACAACCAUAUAUUGGUCGUUACAUGUUGCUUCUCCAAGUAUUGUUUGAUUUUUCCGAUUAAACAGGCAACUGCGGAUAUAAUCGUAAGGAUUUUAGAGGAGUCAGUGUUCCUUGUGCAUGGUGUACCGCAGACGGUGUUGAUGGACAAUGGCACUCAAUUCACUGGGAGAGUAAUGGAAAAUUUCUUCAAGUUGUAUAGUGUUCCUAACGUUUUUUAUAGCCCUAGAUACACGCCUCAAGUGAAUCUCGUGGAGCGUUACAACCGCACGAUUAUUACGUGUAUUUCUACGUUUGUAGAGGAUGACCAUAGGUCUUGGGACGUAUUUAUUCCGCGGGUUCAGUUUGCCAUUAAUAGCUCGGUUAAUGAAGUGACCAAUAAAACACCUGCAUUUCUAGUAUUCGGUCGCGAGUUGGUGCCAUGCGGUACACACUAUACGGAUAACGAUCUCGGCGAAGAAGUGUUGUUCCUACCACGUGACAUAUACGCAGAAAAUCUGGGUGUCAUGUCAGCCUUAUUUGACGAUGUGCAGCGAAGGUUGUGGCAUGCCCAUGUCAAGAACACGUCUCAUUACAAUAUUAGACGUAAGCCUGCUGAAUUUCAAGUCGGUGACAUUGUCAUGAAGCGUACCUAUUUCUUGAGCGAUAAGGGUAAACAAUUUACCAAAAAACUAGCCCCGAAAUUUAUUAAGGCUCGGGUAGUUGCUAAGAAAUCACCUCUAGUGUAUAUGUUGCAAGAUUUGUCAGGUAAGGAUUUAGGCACCUGGCAUAUAAAAGAUCUCAAAUUAGUUGGUGUUCAUAAAUAGUUUUUUUUUUUUUUGUUUUCUCGUGAGGUUAUUAUUAGUGUCACGUGUCCCCGUGUGGUGACGGGUUAAGAAUUUCCCCACUCCUUUUCCUCCCGUGGAUGUCGUAGAAGUCGACUAAGGGAUAUUGACUCAAUUGUGAUUAUAGCUACUGGUUGGAGGCAUUUUGCCUGCUUGCGGUAUCACAUUUUUUUUCCCCCUUCCCAAUUUUUGAUUGCCAAGGGCGGCAUUAGGUCCUUAGUAUUUUCAAGUUGCUCUCCCUACCCAUUUUGGGAAGUACCUGCGUUAGUCAUGAUGUAUGUUUGCUUGUUGUGUAUUAAUUUAAUUUCAAAAUAUGCGUGUUACCAUCUUUAGGCAAAAGCACGUGUAGGGUCUCAAGUUCUUGUAACAGGUUACCUCAGUAUUUUUUUUGCUAUUGAGCGUUAGUAAUUUUAUUUCAUUUUCCCAAAUAGUUACUAAUGUAUUCAUGGAAGCGUGAUGUAUGAAAGAUUAUUUACGAAAGCGUAUCGACAAGUGCUUAGCUCUGCGGAUUUUAUUUCAUUAAGAUGACCUAAAAUCCUUGACCACGCGCCGGGGUAUUGUAACGUAAAUACGUUACGUAACCUAGGUUACAUAUAUAUUAAGAAGUUUUAUUGAUUCAUAGCUAACUUACAUUCCAAUAUAAACGUAAUUAAUUCAUAAGAAACACUUACCUGCUUAUACUAGAUACGAAUAAUUAAAAGCGAUACAUUAAAAUCGUAAUAUUUAAGUUAUAAUUGCAUCCUGAUCCUGACCUAUGCAUUGCGCACUUUACCUUGCGCGACAUUCCUUCGUUGUAAAACCGGCCGGUGGCGCUCCCCGCCCCGCGCCUUACUCCACCGCUCCCGCGCGGCUUCACAGCUCGGGGCAGACAGAUUGAGACAUCGGCGCCGGCGCACGUUCGCUUUGCUCAAAGCUCGCGACUAUACAUGUAGCCGGCGUGAUUUUAAAUUUAUUUAAUUCCUAAUACGUCUUAGUGCUCGUUUAGUACCAAGUAACGUUUGUAUUUAGUGUUUAAAUCCCCAAUUGGGGAGCCAUAUUACGGCUGGAACUACAGCCCAGGCCGGGUUACGACGGUUCCGGAACCUCUACACAAGUUCCGGCAGAUCCGGAGCGGAGCGGCUGACGUCCCUCGGCGCGUUCCGUCUUCAGCCCGCAACGACACCAGCAGCUUCAGGGGAGUACUUGCGUGGUGGACCUGACCUCGGAGCAAAAUCAGUAUCGGCCUUACGAACCCACACCUAACGACCUUUGUUCGUGUGCUCACGCGGAGUUACGGCGAGAAUAAACCAGUUCUUUAUUUUAA